rnacentral:rRNA from 1 species
UACGGGGGGGGCAAGCGUUGUUCGGAAUUACUGGGCGUAAAGGGCUCGUAGGUGGCCAACUAAGUCGGACGUGAAAUCCCUCAGCUUAACUGGGGAACUGCGUCCGAUACUGGCGGGCUUGAAUCCGGGAGAGGGAUGUGGAAUUCCAGGUGUAGCGGUGAAAUGCGUAGAUAUCUGGAGGAACAUCGGUGGCGAAGGCGGCAUCCUGGACCGAUAUUGACGCUGAGGCGCGAAAGCCAGGGGAGCAAACGGG